rnacentral:rRNA from 1 species
GAGAGUUUGAUCCUGGCUCAGGAUGAACGCUAGCUACAGGCUUAACACAUGCAAGUCGAGGGGCAGCAUGGUCUUAGCUUGCUAAGGCCGAUGGCGACCGGCGCACGGGUGAGUAACGCGUAUCCAACCUGCCUUACACUCUUGGACAGCCUUCUGAAAGGGAGAUUAAUACAAGAUGUUAUCAUGAGUAAGCAUUUUCGCAUGAUUAAAGGUUUACCGGUGUAAGAUGGGGAUGCGUUCCAUUAGAUAGUAGGCGGGGUAACGGCCCACCUAGUCUUCGAUGGAUAGGGGUUCUGAGAGGAAGGUCCCCCACAUUGGAACUGAGACACGGUCCAAACUCCUACGGGAGGCAGCAGUGAGGAAUAUUGGUCAAUGGACGAGAGUCUGAACCAGCCAAGUAGCGUGAAGGAUGAAGGUUCUAUGGAUUGUAAACUUCUUUUAUACGGGAAUAAACGAAUCCACGCGUGGAUUUUUGCAUGUACCGUAUGAAUAAGGAUCGGCUAACUCCGUGCCAGCAGCCGCGGUAAUACGGAGGAUCCGAGCGUUAUCCGGAUUUAUUGGGUUUAAAGGGAGCGUAGAUGGGUUGUUAAGUCAGUUGUGAAAGUUUGCGGCUCAACCGUAAAAUUGCAAUUGAUACUGGCAGUCUUGAGUACAGUUGAGGUAGGCGGAAUUCGUGGUGUAGCGGUGAAAUGCUUAGAUAUCACGAAGAACUCCGAUUGCGAAGGCAGCUUACUAACCUGUAACUGACAUUGAUGCUCGAAAGUGUGGGUAUCAAACAGGAUUAGAUACCCUGGUAGUCCACACGGUAAACGAUGAAUACUCGCUGUAGGCGAUAUACAGUCUGCGGCCAAGCGAAAGCAUUAAGUAUUCCACCUGGGGAGUACGCCGGCAACGGUGAAACUCAAAGGAAUUGACGGGGGCCCGCACAAGCGGAGGAACAUAUGGUUUAAUUCGAUGAUACGCGAGGAACCUUACCCGGGCUUAAAUUGCAACCGAAUAUGGCGGAAACGCUAUAGCUAGCAAUAGCGGUUGUGAAGGUGCUGCAUGGUUGUCGUCAGCUCGUGCCGUGAGGUGUCGGCUUAAGUGCCAUAACGAGCGCAACCCUUGCCGAUAGUUACUAACAGGUCAUGCUGAGGACUCUGUCGGGACUGCCAUCGUAAGAUGUGAGGAAGGUGGGGAUGACGUCAAAUCAGCACGGCCCUUACGUCCGGGGCUACACACGUGUUACAAUGGGGGGUACAGAGGGCUGCUACCACGCAAGUGGAUGCCAAUCCCAAAAACCUCUCUCAGUUCGGAUUGAAGUCUGCAACCCGACUUCAUGAAGCUGGAUUCGCUAGUAAUCGCGCAUCAGCCACGGCGCGGUGAAUACGUUCCCGGGCCUUGUACACACCGCCCGUCAAGCCAUGGGAGCCGGGGGUACCUGAAGUGCGUAACCGCAAGGAGCGCCCUAGGGUAAAACUGGUGACUGGGGCUAAGUCGUAACAAGGUAGCCG